GUGUUUUAUUGGUCCUGUUUCAUUAAGUCCAGCAACUGUAAAAUAUUAAAUCCAUCAACAAAACUGGAGUAAUAUAUCAAAGAGAACGGAAAAUCAACACCAUCACCGGGGAAUUUAAAUUGUUGACUUACAUCAAUAUAACCGACUAUGAGCAAAGUCAUCAGUCGAUCCAACUCGAGUAUAUCCUUUUGGCAGCCCUAUGCAAUAAAUUAAAGCAAAAUCCGAGCCGCACCACGAUUUUGGAGAAGAGCGGUUGGAUAAAAACCACUACCCAUAUUACGAUG